rnacentral:rRNA from 1 species
UGGUGGAGUGAUUUGUCUGGUUAAUUCCGAUAACGAACGAGACCUUAACCUGCUAAUUAGAGGUGCUGUUUCUUAACGGUAUCCCCUUCUUAGAGGAACAAUUGAUAUCCAAUCAAUGGAAGUUUGAGGCAAUAACA